GGGUUGUGAGGUUAAGCGACUAAGCGUACACGGUGGAUGCCCUGGCAGUCAGAGGCGAUGAAGGACGUGCUAAUCUGCGAUAAGCGUCGGUAAGGUGAUAUGAACCGUUAUAACCGGCGAUUUCCGAAUGGGGAAACCCAGUGUGAUUCGUCACACUAUCAUUAACUGAAUCCAUAGGUUAAUGAGGCGAACCGGGGGAACUGAAACAUCUAAGUACCCCGAGGAAAAGAAAUCAACCGAGAUUCCCCCAGUAGCGGCGAGCGAACGGGGAGCAGCCCAGAGCCUGAAUCAGUGUGUGUGUUAGUGGAAGCGUCUGGAAAGGCGCGCGAUACAGGGUGACAGCCCCGUACACAAAAAUGCACAUGCUGUGAGCUCGAUGAGUAGGGCGGGACACGUGGUAUCCUGUCUGAAUAUGGGGGGACCAUCCUCCAAGGCUAAAUACUCCUGACUGACCGAUAGUGAACCAGUACCGUGAGGGAAAGGCGAAAAGAACCCCGGCGAGGGGAGUGAAAAAGAACCUGAAACCGUGUACGUACAAGCAGUGGGAGCACGCUUAGGCGUGUGACUGCGUACCUUUUGUAUAAUGGGUCAGCGACUUAUAUUCUGUAGCAAGGUUAACCGAAUAGGGGAGCCGAAGGGAAACCGAGUCUUAACUGGGCGUUAAGUUGCAGGGUAUAGACCCGAAACCCGGUGAUCUAGCCAUGGGCAGGUUGAAGGUUGGGUAACACUAACUGGAGGACCGAACCGACUAAUGUUGAAAAAUUAGCGGAUGACUUGUGGCUGGGGGUGAAAGGCCAAUCAAACCGGGAGAUAGCUGGUUCUCCCCGAAAGCUAUUUAGGUAGCGCCUCGUGAAUUCAUCUCCGGGGGUAGAGCACUGUUUCGGCAAGGGGGUCAUCCCGACUUACCAACCCGAUGCAAACUACGAAUACCGGAGAAUGUUAUCACGGGAGACACACGGCGGGUGCUAACGUCCGUCGUGAAGAGGGAAACAACCCAGACCGCCAGCUAAGGUCCCAAAGUCAUGGUUAAGUGGGAAACGAUGUGGGAAGGCCCAGACAGCCAGGAUGUUGGCUUAGAAGCAGCCAUCAUUUAAAGAAAGCGUAAUAGCUCACUGGUCGAGUCGGCCUGCGCGGAAGAUGUAACGGGGCUAAACCAUGCACCGAAGCUGCGGCAGCGACGCU
rnacentral:rRNA from 1 species